UUGAACCAGUUUAAAAGUCUUGUAGUAUGUUUAAUUUUUGUUUUUGGGGUGGUGUGUUAUUGUGUGUAGGUGCUGUGAUUAGUACUUGGAGUUUAAUUUCUUGUGGUGGAGCAGUCUGAGCAACAAUCCUCUCUGGUUCAGCAAACGGAGGAAGCUUCUUGCAAGAGUUACUACAAAAACUUAAAAGAAAAGAGGAGAGCUUUUUGUAGACUAUGAACCUUGCUAUCCAUUUUUUUUCCAAGGCAGAGUCUUCAAGUGAAACAAACUCAAGCCAAAACCAGCAUUCAGAGAAUGGAUGUUUGCUCUGUACUUCAGGAACAGAAAUAAUGAACAGAAAAACAAAACAAAGCAAAUGUAAAUGGUCCUGGCUGGAAUUGUCAGGAGAACCAGGAGUGAGAAAUAAAUGGGAACACCUAUAAAGAUGAUCACAACCUCUUUGGAUCCCUCAUCUCAUGACAUCACCUGACCAGAAUACCUGCAGUUUAAUAGGAUUUAUUAGUUGCUUAACCACAGCUGUAUACAGUGAAGUUUAUACUCUGCUGAUCACAGAAAUUUGGGGGGGUUUUAUAGGUGAAGAUAAGGAAUUCCCUUACUUUUUUAUUUUUCCUUCAAACACAAAUCUGACUGAAGAGCCUGGUGAAUCUCAAUUCUUUUCCCAAGAACCCAUGAAUAUAUGAAGAUAUUCAGAUGUGCUGUGUGAGAACAAAUAUCAAUGUAGAUCAUCUCCAGCAGUGCCCAAACCUAGCUGCCAAAGGAAUAAGGCUAGGGGGAGAACAAAGAUUACAGAAGAGACUGUGAAAAUAUGCUAGGGACUGGAAGAAUAUUUGAGGUAAACUUGAACUCUGAGCCUUCCUGAGUCAGAUGUGGUUUUGCUGUUUUCAGUAAUCCUC